CUGAGACAGGGUUUCUCUGUGCAGCUUUGCGCCUUUCCUGGAUCUCGCUCAGUAGACCAGGCUGGCCUCGAACUCACAGAGAUCCACCUGGCUCUGCCUCCCAAGUGCUGGGUUUAAAGGCGUGCGCCACCACCGCCCGGCUUGUUUUUGUUUUAAUUUUCCUUUUUGGAGACAAGAUCUCUUUAUGUGUGCCUUGGCUGUCCUGGAACUAACUAUGUAAACUAGGAUCCUGAAAAAGAGAUCUGCCUGCCUCUGCCUCCUGAGUGCUGGGAUUAAAGGCGCAUGCCACCACACAGGGCCCAAGAAGAGCCCAGUUUGAAUUCCAGCCCAGCCACGUAGCAGCCGUGUAGUCCCAGCCUUCCUAAGCUGCUCGCACCUAUUAAAAGCAUGUCUGUGUUGCAGUUCCUAGCUCUUGGACUCUGUGUACCUAGCAGACACCAUGUGACAUGACUCCAGUCCCUUCCCACACCCUUGGGGCUCAAGUCAGGUGCCAGGAGUGUAGGCCUCCAGCCAGCGAACAACAGCCUCAGGGAACAGCCACCGGCACCUCCAGGCCCUCAGGCUCCACAGGGCCUGAAGGCAAGUUAGUCAGGUAGGUAGACUGAGGCAUGCUGGGUAGACAGGCAUGCUGGAAAGGUGUUGCUGACCUGUUCUCUGCACCCCUCAGGAGUAUAGGGCUGAUGUGUUCACUCCUGUGGCUGAAAGCUGGGCCUCUGUUUUAGCUUCCUGCAUAGCCUGGGCUAUCCUUGGACUCACUAUGUAGCCAGCUCAUACUGAUUUGAAACUUUGUCCUGCCUCUGAGUGCCGGGAUGACAGGCACUUGGCAGCAUGCUCUCUCAGCUUCAGCUUUUGAAUGGAGAUUGGCACUGGUGUGUUAUUUGAACCUAUCAGUUUUUCAGAGUUGGGAACCAUCUUAGUUUUUUUCUUUCUUUGUUUAUUUAUUCAUUUUAACAGUUUUAUGUAGCCCAGGCUGGCCAAAAACUCAUUAUGUAGCUAAGGAUGGCUUUGAACUCCUGAUCCUCCUGCAUCCACUUCCCGAGUGCCAGGACUACAGGUGCCAGCCAAGGCUGCUAGGCACAGUCUGUAAGUGGCAGGCAGGGGCCCCUUUGUGCUGAGGGGACUUCUGGGUCCUAGAGAAAGGCCAUCCCAACCCCACUGGGCUCCAGGUUGGUGCAGCCAGGCGGGACUGGAUUCGGAUGCAGCUCCGCUGGUUCAGUCAGCGGUGGUUAUGACCCAGAGAUAGCCCAGGCCUCAAGCUCCUCCGUUGCAGAGGGAGAUGAAGCCUACCUGUCCCUCCCACAGCUGACCUUUCUCCUCACCCCCACCAGCCCAGGACGAGCACCACUCACAACGGGCUGAACCCUCCCUAAUCAAUCACUCGUUAACAAAAUUCCCCACAGGCUUUUGUACAGCUGGAUCUUAUGGAGGCGUUUCCUCAAUCAAGGUAGCCUCCUCGAAGAUGACUCUGGCUUGUGUCAAGUUGACGUAGAACUAGCCAGUAUACCUAUUUUGUUUUUAAGAUUUAUUUUACUUUAUGUGUAUGAUUGUGUUGCCUGCAUGUAUGCUUGCAUGCAUACUAUGUGCAUGCCUGGUACCUGAGGAGAAGAGGGUGUUGCUGCUCCUCAACCUGGAGUUACAGACGGUCGUGAGCCACCACCUGAGUGCUGGGAGCCCAGCUGUGUCCUCUGCAAGAGUAGCAAAUGCUCUAACCCUCUGAGCCAUCUCUCCAGCCUGUUUUUAUUUUAUUUUAUUUUUGAGGGUGGGAGUCUUUUUUUUUUUUUUCCCCAGAGCUGAGGACCGAACCCAGGGCCUUGCGCUUGCUUGGCAAGUGCUCUACCACUGAGCUAAAUCCCCAACCCCCCCCUUUUUUUAAAUACAUUUAGAAUUAGAGAAACUUUUUUGCUGUGGCCACGCAGUGUCCCCUGGGUUGUCAUUGACUAUCCUAUUAACUGUAGGGCAGAGUGCUCGGUUGAGAUAUCACCCAGGAUCCCUCAGUGAGAGCAGCUCCACCUCAGGGAGGUGGAUGGAUGUUGCUGCCUUCCCUGGGCCUGUCUCUCCUCCAGGACACCACAUUGCUGUCCGUCAUUUGUUAAUUGUAUUAGGAACAAAACAGGUCUUCGCCUCCUCCGGCCUCUGGUGGCGUCUCUGAUCUUCACUGGAGAUCCCCCUGUGAGGACUGCAGUUUGAACAUGCUGUACAGUGUGCGCCUUCAGCACUUCUCUGGCCUUUUCCUCCUGGCUAGAUUAGGAGAACUGAAGAGAAAGACCGGCCCCCAUCACAGCGAUGGAGCAGACGAAGUGGGCGGCGGGUGGCUGAGGAGCUGUUUCCCGGGUUAUCCUUCCCACCCCCACCUCUCUCUCUUCUGCUCCCUGGAAGCCAGUACUUGAAGGAGCAGGACAGUCAGGCUCUGGAUCCCGUUGGACUCUUCAGUGUUUGUUUUGUUUUGGGGGUAAAACCCAGGGCUUUGCGGCUGCAUAGCUCUCUACCACUGAGCCAUACCCCCAGCCCUCAGUUUGGGGGAAUGGGAUCUCUGUGUAGCUCAGGCUCCUUUUAAACUCAUGAUCCUCCUGCCUCUGCCCCCUGACAGCUGGGAUUUGUUCAUGUACAUGGUGUGUGUGAGUGAGAGCGUGUGUGCGUGUGUGUGUGUGUGUGUGUGUGUGUGUGUGUGUGUGUGUGUGUGUGUAUGCUCGAGCACUCAAGCAUGCACAUGAUGUGCCCAUGUGCAACACAGUGCUUGUGUGGAGGUCAAAGGACAAUUUGAUGGGUCAGUUCUUACCUCUCUACCUUUCUGUGAGUUCUAGGGACCAAACUCAGGUCAUCGGGUUGCAUGGCCAUUUUGAAGACCCAUGAGGAUUCUCACUGCUGGAGACCCUCCUCCAUGACCUUGCCCCACAGCCCAGGUCAAGUGCUGUGCCUGAGCCAUGGCGGUCUGUGUGGCCUUGGUGACUCAUCGAGACAAAAGUCCUGGUAACAUUACCGUCAGGCCCUGAAGAGUCAGGCAGGACAGAAACCCCUCUAUGUGGUUUGACCAGCUGUGUUCUGUUUUUCCUCCCGCGACACAAAGCACUGAGGUGGCCAUUGGAGUUGUCUGGGCUUCUUAAGGAAAUAGCAAGGGACACAUACUCUGGCUCUUCUAUUCUCUUUGGUGUGUGGUGUUUGUCCCCCUGGUCUCAAGGUGGCUGUGGCACCUCCAACAUUGCUACAGUACUCCAAGCAGGCUUGGUCCUUCUCCACCGAACCCCGGGCUUCUGGUUCUGGCCAACACCUUCAGAGUUCUGCAGUGGUGUGGUCCCCAUGCUGGUGGCCUCAGCUCUGGACAUUUUGGUGAUUGGCUCUGGCUACCAUAGGCAGUGCUGUACAGGAUCCUUGGACACGGUUCCCCUACAAGGCUUGCAUCUGGGCUAGACAUCUGGAAUUCCUCUUAGAGAUCACUGUUCAUCACUGGAGGAAGUCAGGACAGGAACUCAAACAGGGCAGGAACCUGGAGGCAGGAGCUGAUGCAGAGACCAUGGAGGAGUUGUACAUCAUCUACAAUGGGCUGGGCCCUCUUCAAUCAAUCACUAAUGAAGGAAAUACUCUACAGGACUGCCUGCAGCCAAGCCCUUGUAGGGGAGAACCUUGAACACUAGCAUCUCAAGG